AAAAGCAGUCAUUAAAACAGAGAAUGCAAAAGCAUUUGAAUAACUUUGUUUUUUUAAGUACUUUAAAUGAGUCUUUAGUUCAAGGCGCAUGCAACUGUUUCUUUGCAGCACGCGUUGAAUGUAACGUGCUUGGCGCGUUCUCGCAACGAAGAUUUACGCAAGAUUUUGCAUUUACGCUGUUUACGUAGCGAACUUCUCUAGACGACCUAUUUUAGCUGCAUUUUAGCAACAGCGCCCUCUAAGGUCACAACAUAAGAUAGGUCACAGAUUUCGGUGUCACACCUUAUACUUAUUCCUAGUACAAGUUUAUUGAAUUAACCGGUUCUUUAUUACUUUCUCUUAAGCCGCUUCGGUGCUUUUUUAAAUUAAUCUGUUUUUACCGGUUAUCCAUGGACUGUUAUUUGUAUUGUGUUUCUUUUUUUUUGUUUCCUUUGUUUUUAUGAGCGUGGGUUUACCGCAUAUAUAUAUUCACCUACGACUAUCGGACGACGAACUGUGAUUAGUGGGUGUUAACAGAGGGAGUGUAUAUUUCUUAUUUUUGGUUUAUCCCUUUUUAUUGGUUUAUCAAUGUGUUAACUAUUAUGCACUGCUUUGUGUGGUUUGUCCCUUCUGUAAAGGCGGACCUAAUCUAGUUUAUUCUCAAUUGUCGGUAACUAAUCGGUAAACUGUACAUGAUAUCCUUUUUUUUAAGAGUAAUUUUUUUAAAAGUAUUUUUAAGAGCAAACGAUUUUCUUUUUUGUAAAAUAAAGUUGUACUAAUUUUUUUGGAAAGUCACGUCUGUCUUCAAUCCCAUCCGAACCAGCUGGGUCCUUCAUAUUAUUGUAACUUUUUUUGGUUUAACUUAUUUUUCAUAGUAACCCAGGUGGCGUAGUCGGUUCUUUUCCAUUCUCAAUACCUUAACCAGAAAGGUUACACAUGCUUUGCCGCUCUGCCGGCGUCCCCACUGGAGGCCUCAAGUUUCUCAAGAUCAUUAUGCAGAGUGUACAUUUCCCCCCAUGGUACUCCCUAAAUACUGUACCAUCAGCAUGUGGACUUUGCAACAAGGAGAGAACCCGCUGGAUCUUGUUUGCAUAAACAUUGUGUAAUAUCGGAGCCCUACCCCCACCUUGGCUACUCAGACCACAUCUCUGUUAUGCUAAUUCCAGCAUACAGGCUGAUCGUCAGACGCUUUAACCCAAUUUUAAAUCAGAUACCACAGCUUCUGAUCAGAUCUCAGCAUGUCUGGCAGAAAUUUCAUCAUGGAUGACUGC